GUGCCUUCGGGAACUGUGAGACAGGUGCUGCAUGGCUGUCGUCAGCUCGUGUUGUGAAAUGUUGGGUUAAGUCCCGCAACGAGCGCAACCCUUAUCCUUUGUUGCCAGCGAUUAGGUCGGGAACUCAAAGGAGACUGCCAGUGAUAAACUGGAGGAAGGUGGGGAUGACGUCAAGUCAUCAUGGCCCUUACGACCAGGGCUACACACGUGCUACAAUGGCGCAUACAAAGAGAAGCGACCUCGCGAGAGCAAGCGGACCUCAUAAAGUGCGUCGUAGUCCGGAUUGGAGUCUGCAACUCGACUCCAUGAAGUCGGAAUCGCUAGUAAUCGUGGAUCAGAAUGCCACGGUGAAUACGUUCCCGGGCCUUGUACACACCGCCCGUCACACCAUGGGAGUGGGUUGCAAAAGAAGUAGGUAGCUUAACCUUCGGGAGGGCGCUUACCACUUUGUGAUUCAUGACUGGGGUGAAGUCGUAACAAGGUAACCGUAGGGGAACCUGCGGUUGGAUCACCUCCUUACCUUAAA
rnacentral:rRNA from 1 species